AUUGAUCUGGGAUAUUCGCCAAUCUUCUGUUUUGAACCUACAGCACAAGAACGGGAGUUUUAUAUACAAUGUGGAUAUGUACUUUAUUGUGAGACCCUUAGAUGGCAUUUAAGGCGAUAGAAACAUUGUUGCGGACACCCACCUAUCGGAGAGAUAGGUGUCAAAAUUGAAGUAGCGGUAUUUUGGAUUAUCU
rnacentral:other from 1 species